rnacentral:tRNA from 1 species
GCCCAGAUGGCGGAAUUGGUAGACGCGCUAGACUCAAAAUCUUGUUCUCGCAAGGGAGUGCAGGUUCGAUUCCUGUUCUGGGCAC